UUUACACUCCCUCCGUCCAACAAAAGAUAUCUCAAGUUUGACAAAAUUUGGAUGUAUCUAGACAUGAAUUUGUGUAUAGAUGCAUUCAAAUUUAGUCAAAGUUGAGACAUUCUUUGUUGGCCGGAGGAAAGUAGUUA
rfam:Brachypodium distachyon strain Bd21 chromosome 2, whole genome shotgun sequence.